CGAAGAAGAGCGAGGAACGCAGAGGAGCAGCAUCCUGGAACAGAGGAGCAAAUCCGGCGCAUGCAGAUAGCCCGGGAAGAACCUGUACAACGAUGUGUCUUUGCGAUACACCAGGCACUGUGAUGCUGUUGGGAGCUUUCUGCAUCAUAUACAAUGUACUGAAAUGUAUUGUGUUUUUCUUGGCGACGAAGCUAUUGG